AGUGAACGCUGGCGGUAGGCCUAACACAUGCAAGUCGAACGGCAGCACAGUAAGAGCUUGCUCUUACGGGUGGCGAGUGGCGGACGGGUGAGGAAUACAUCGGAAUCUACUUUUUCGUGGGGGAUAACGUAGGGAAACUUACGCUAAUACCGCAUACUACCUACGGGUGAAAUCAGGGGAUCUUCGGACCUUGCGCGAUUGAAUGAGCUGAUGUCGGAUUAGCUAGUUGGCGGGGUAAAGGCCCACCAAGGCGGCGAUCCGUAGCUGGUCUGAGAGGAUGAUCAGCCACACUGGAACUGAGACACGGUCCAGACUCCUACGGGAGGCAGCAGUGGGGAAUGUUGGACAAUGGGCGCAAGCCUGAUCCAGCCAUACCGCGUGGGUGAAGAAGGCCUUCGGGUUGUAAAGCCCUUUUGUUGGGAAAGAAAAGCAGCAGGUUAAUACCCCGCUGUUCUGACGGUACCCAAUGAAUAAGCACCGGCUAACUUCGUG
rnacentral:rRNA from 1 species